rnacentral:rRNA from 1 species
UACGGAGGGAGCUAGCGUUGUUCGGAAUUACUGGGCGUAAAGCGUGCGUAGGCGGCUUGAUAAGCGUGCGGUGAAAGCCCGGGGCUCAACCCCGGGUCGGCCGUGCGAACUGUCGAGCUGGAGCACUGUAGAGGCAGGUGGAAUUCCGGGUGUAGCGGUGGAAUGCGUUGAUAUCGGAAGGAACGCCGGUGGCGAAAGCGACGUGCUGGACCUCUUCUGACGCUGAGGCGCGAAAGCUAGGGGAGCGAACGGG